rnacentral:rRNA from 1 species
CUUGCUUCUCUUGAGAGCGGCGGACGGGUGAGUAAUGCCUAGGAAUCUGCCUGGUAGUGGGGGAUAACGUCCGGAAACGGACGCUAAUACCGCAUACGUCCUACGGGAGAAAGCAGGGGACCUUCGGGCCUUGCGCUAUCAGAUGAGCCUAGGUCGGAUUAGCUAGUUGGUGGGGUAAUGGCUCACCAAGGCGACGAUCCGUAACUGGUCUGAGAGGAUGAUCAGUCACACUGGAACUGAGACACGGUCCAGACUCCUACGGGAGGCAGCAGUGGGGAAUAUUGGACAAUGGGCGAAAGCCUGAUCCAGCCAUGCCGCGUGUGUGAAGAAGGUCUUCGGAUUGUAAAGCACUUUAAGUUGGGAGGAAGGGCAGUAAAUUAAUACUUUGCUGUUUUGACGUUACCGACAGAAUAAGCACCGGCUAACUCUGUGCCAGCAGCCGCGGUAAUACAGAGGGUGCAAGCGUUAAUCGGAAUUACUGGGCGUAAAGCGCGCGUAGGUGGUUCGUUAAGUUGGAUGUGAAAUCCCCGGGCUCAACCUGGGAACUGCAUUCAAAACUGACGAGCUAGAGUAUGGUAGAGGGUGGUGGAAUUUCCUGUGUAGCGGUGAAAUGCGUAGAUAUAGGAAGGAACACCAGUGGCGAAGGCGACCACCUGGACUGAUACUGACACUGAGGUGCGAAAGCGUGGGGAGCAAA